rnacentral:rRNA from 1 species
AACGAACGCUGGCGGCAUGCCUAACACAUGCAAGUCGAGCGGGCGUAGCAAUACGUCAGCGGCAGACGGGUGAGUAACGCGUGGGAACAUACCUUUUGGUUCGGAACAACACAGGGAAACUUGUGCUAAUACCGGAUAAGCCCUUACGGGGAAAGAUUUAUCGCCGAAAGAUUGGCCCGCGUCUGAUUAGCUAGUUGGUGAGGUAACGGCUCACCAAGGCGACGAUCAGUAGCNGGUCUGAGAGGAUGAUCAGCCACAUUGGGACUGAGACACGGCCCAAACUCCUACGGGAGGCAGCAGUGGGGAAUAUUGGACAAUGGGCGCAAGCCUGAUCCAGCCAUGCCGCGUGAGUGAUGAAGGCCCUAGGGUUGUAAAGCUCUUUU